rnacentral:rRNA from 1 species
UACGUAGGAUGCGAGCGUUAUCCGGAUUUAUUGGGUUUAAAGGGUGCGUAGACGGCAGCGCAAGUCUGGAGUGAAAUGCCGGGGCCCAACCCCGGAACUGCUUUGGAAACUGUGCGGCUCGAGUGCGGGAGAGGUAGGCGGAAUUCCUAGUGUAGCGGUGAAAUGCGUAGAUAUUAGGAGGAACACCAGUGGCGAAGGCGGCUUACUGGACCGUAACUGACGUUGAGGCUCGAAAGCGUGGGGAGCAAACAGG